AGCGUCAGCGAGAAAACGGAAGUGAAGUAUCUGUGAGUGAGAAACAUUUACCUCAGUUACUAGCACUGCUGUUCUGUGUUUCAGAGAGAGAUGCACACCAAACAACAGCAUCUUCUUUCUCAUCAGUUAAACCUCCACUGAUCACACCUCCAUCUCCUGUAACAGGCUCUUCUCUGAUCAUCAGUGUGUCUGUGCUUCUGCUUCUGAUCAUCAGUGUGAUUCUGUUAGUGAUCGUGACUCUCUGGAGGAGGCGUCAGUCACACAAUGCUGAUUCCUCAUCCAAAAGAUCUCACUCGACACCAGAAAACAGUGC